UUUGGGACAGGAGAGAGUUUGACAACAACUAAACCAUCCAUAACUGUGGCACCAAGUUCUCUGGCUGCAAUCAUUGCUGGGAUGAGCAAACCAAUUGCUGAUCUGAAUGCCAGCUACAACAAACUCUUGGCUCAAAAAAGGGGAUCUCAUGUCCCUGCAGUG